rnacentral:lncRNA from 12 species
UUUUCACCCAGUUGCCUGGGAGUGCCUCUGCAAUGAGGUACCUAAGGGAUGUGUCAGCCUGGCUGAGGAAAACAGCACAGCAGGCAAACAGUGCACCAGAAAUCUGAGUCCUGAAGCUGAUGGUACCUCUCACACUAGACCUGCAUCAGCUAUCCUCAAAAGACCCUGAACUUCUAGAAAACUGACUUACUAGGAAGAGUAUCUUUCUUCACAAAUCAAUUAUAAUUGAUCUCUGCCACUUUAUCAGCAGAAAAAAAAAAAAAAAAGGGGGGGG